UGAUGAAGUACAGAUCACAAUGGGUUCACUC
rnacentral:piRNA from 1 species